AAGUCGUAACAAGGUCUCCGUAGGUGAACCUGCGGAGGGAUCAUUAUCGAAUGGCCCACUGGGCCUUCAACCCACACACACCCGUGGAAGCUAAAUGUGCUUUGGCUUUAUGCCAUAUUCAUGCGUAUAUAUGUGUUUGUCUGAAUUACAUUUAAUUGAAAAACUUUCAACAAAGGAUCUCUUGGCUCUC
rnacentral:misc_RNA from 1 species